CUCAAAGGAAUUGAGGGACCCGCACAAGCAGCGGAGUCGUGUGGUUUAAUUCGUUGCUACACGAAGAACCUUACCUGGGUUUGACAUAUAGGUUGUAGGGAACUGAAAAGGGACCGACCCUUCGGGGAGCCUAUACAGGUGUUGCAUGGCUGUCGUCAGCUCGUGUCGUGAGAUGUUCGGUUAAGUCCGCUAACGAGCGCAACCCUCGUCGUAUGUUAUAUGUGUCAUACGAGACUGCCGGUAAAAAGCCGGAGGAAGGUGAGGAUGAUGUCAAGUCAGCAUGACCUUUAUAUCCAGGGCUACACACACGCUACAAUGGUCUGUACAAUGGGUAGCCAAGCCGCGAGGCGGAGCCAAUCCUGAAAGCAGGCCUCAGUUCAGAUUGCAGUCUGCAACUCGACUGCAUGAAGCCGGAGUUGCUAGUAACCGCAGGUCAGCAAUACUGCGGUGAAUACGUUCCCGGGUCCU
rnacentral:rRNA from 1 species